UCCCAGAGAAUCCAAUCGCGCACUCAUUCAUGAGAUGGUCAUACUGAUAGAAAGGAUUAUAUCCCACCAGUGACGCUAUAAGAAGAUGCAAUACGGCAUUGGUCGUCGCCAGCAAUAUUGUGAGGUAAAACAAGCGGACGGAUCCCAUGAUUCUCUCCAGCUCGGAUCCCAUAGGAACCAAGGCCAUCAUGUUGAACAUAACAUGAAGCAUCGAUCCAUGGAAUAGAAUGGCCGUGUAAAACCUAUAAACUGCACAACAGGUAACAAGAAAAACAAGCAGGAGUUUACAAGACAAAUACAUCAACAGCAAGAUGUAAAAUCUUUAGUGACAAAAAGAAAAUCAACAAACUUGAUAAUGUGUUUCAAGAAGAUAAGACUUAACAGUAUGAGAAUAUACCUUGGAAACGCGAUAGAAUUGCAGAGGGCAAGAAGCAGACUUCGUAGAAAGUAUCGUAUCCAGUUAAGAGGCUUAUGAGGUAAAUGAUUCCACAAACUACAACCACUGAAGAGGUGAGGAAAGGUAUUGCAUUCCACCAUUGUGAAACUCUGGUUUGAACCCCAGCCUAGAAGAAAAUAAGAAUCCACAACAAAUCACAAACGAGUACUAUAUAAGACCCAUACUAGGUGAUAGCUUAUAACUAAACCUUUGUCCGAAUCUCUACCUGGCUAGAGAUAGAAACCUAUCUAUUAGACCCCUUUAAUCAAUUUCAGAUAUCUUUCAAUAUUCUGAUUGGUCCCGUUAAUAGUAUAAUACCCAGAACACAAAGAACUACUGAAACGGAGGUUGCUCUACUUAUAAACCCCUACUACAUCAAAAGAUUCGAAAUACCUUGCGGCGGGGAUUGGCUCUGCUAUGCCAAUCGCGGUUGCAUCAGAAAGGCGGUCAGGAGUGCUAUCUUCCAAGAGUCUAGCAUGGAGGUUUGGGUCUGUUUCUCCAGCUGGAGGGGUGGGAUCACGGGCAGUACCGCUAAGAGUUCUACCUCUUCCCGGAAAUCUACUGUCCUCAGACGACUAAAUGUGAAGUAGUAUGGUUAGAUCAUACAUCCACCAAGUCAAAAGGAAUUAGCAGACAAGGUUAGCAUGAUUGUACCUGAUUAGAUGCUUCCCUCUGUGGCAGCCAUGAAGACAAGGAUCUCCAAGCGUUUCCCGUAGAGAAACCACUGUCCAAAGAACACUGUCAUUACAAUGUUUCCUAGGCAAGUAGUUCAGUUUUUUCGUAUGUAGUUAGAGGUUCGCACCUGGAUGUUGUGUUUUGUACAGAAUAAGUGGGCAUGUAGCUGGAAGGAUUUCCACCAGUGCACAUAAUGAAUUUGGGUCGCCUUACACAGCUAGCCUGGAAAGGGACAUAGAAUCCGAAUGAGCAACGAUUAAUUCAAAGAGAGACAUGUUUUGCUGCAGGUUCACGAAGCCUGAUGUUCGAAAAUACUUACCAUCCAGGAGGCUGACUCAAUGGUGGAGAAGAAUGAAGACCCGGGCAUCAAGAAAUUGAAAAGGCCAUAAGAAUCUGACACCCAAAGUGGCUAACAAAUUAGCUACCAUGAAACUUCAGGUUUAGAAAGUCGAAAGGUAAAGAAAAAGGUAAAAUAUCAUACAUGCAAAUCCAGACAGGAUGCCACAUAGGUGACCAAGCAAUGAAACAUUUGUCAUGAGAAGCUGGAAUGCAAUCAACAAGAGCCAUGGAUAUCUGCAAAUGGAUACAAAUUUUACACCAUAUGUGCAACAAAGAAAGCAAGUGAACAUUAACAACCCGACAAGAAAGACAAUAAGCUUACAGUUUCGCGGGCACGUUGAAGAGACCAAACACACUGCACAGAAAAAAGAAAAAAAAAUAUAUAUAUAUAUAUGAGAAGCGUCAUGAAUACAAAGGAUGUGCCAAAAAAUUAUUAAAAUAGCUAUAAAAAAGUCUUUACCUCCUAGAGGUGACUCCACUGAGACUCGUCUCUAUGACAAUCAUGGAAAACAAGAUCCCAGAGAAUCCAAUCGCGCACUCAUUCAUGAGAUGGUCAUACUGAUAGAAAGGAUUAUAUCCCACCAGUGACGCUAUAAGAAGAUGCAAUACGGCAUUGGUCGUCGCCAGCAAUAUUGUGAGGUAAAACAAGCGGACGGAUCCCAUGAUUCUCUCCAGCUCGGAUCCCAUAGGAACCAAGGCCAUCAUGUUGAACAUAACAUGAAGCAUCGAUCCAUGGAAUAGAAUGGCCGUGUAAAACCUAUAAA
rnacentral:lncRNA from 1 species